rnacentral:rRNA from 1 species
AUGUCGCAGAAGCGGCAGCCGGAGGAGGGCGAGCGGCCGCGCUGGGGAGGCUGCGGCGGCGGCCCGGCCGAGUCGGGCGGGAGCUCCUCCCCCGGGGAGCCCAAGCGGCAGCGGGUCCCCGCGCUCCGCGAGGUCAUCACGGAGGUGAUGCGGAAGAGCAGCAUCGAGAAGCUCUUCUCGUCGAUCGAGCCCCUCAUCCGGAGAGUGGUUAAAGAAGAAAUUGAGUUGGCCCUCGCAAAUCAUGCUGCUAUGAUGACAAGAAGUCCGACAUACACUGUUCCAUCUACAUCGAAAAACUUGCAGCUCCAAUUCACUACUAGGCUUUCUCUUCCAAUUUUCACUGGCUCCAAGGUUGAAGGCGAGGGUACCUUAAGUAUUGCUCUAGUUGACACUUUGACCAGAGAGGUUGUAGUAAUGGGUAAGGAGUCCCUGUUGAAGGUUGAAAUUGUAGUUCUAGAGGGUGACUUUGAAGACGGAGAAGGCAAUGACUGGACAGCCCAGGAGUUCAAUAAUAACAUCGUUAAAGAAAGACAAGGUAAACGGCCCUUGCUUUCUGGAGACGUGUUUGUUGGCCUUGAAAGAGGCAUUGGUACAGUGGGAGAUGUAUCAUUCACAGAUAACUCCAGCUGGACACGCAGCCGAAAGUUCAGGUUAGGUGCAAGAACUGAGGAUGGUUGUUAUAAUGGCGUAAGAGUCCGGGAAGCAAAGACGGAAUCGUUUGUGGUAAAGGAUCAUCGUGGAGAAUUGUACAAGAAGCAUCACCCACCAGUUCUUGAAGAUGAGGUUUGGAGACUGGAGAAGAUCGGCAAGGAAGGAGCUUUUCACAAGCGUUUGAAUAAGGAGAAGAUAGUUACAGUCAAAGAUUUUCUCACUUUAUUGCAUCUUGAUGCUCCUAGGCUCCGGAAGAUAUUGGGCACUGGCAUGUCAACUAAGAUGUGGGAGGUUACUAUUGAGCAUGCAAAAACAACAUGUAUUCUCAGUGACAAGGUGCAUAUUUACUAUCUAGAAAGCCCAAGUAAAACUGCUGUUGUGUUCAAUGCUGUUGGAGAAGUGAGAGGGUUAAUAUCGGAGAAGUUUGUUUCUGUUGAUGAUCUAACAGAAAAGGAGAAGGCUGAAGCAAAUGCAGCUGUUAAACAAGCAUUUGAAGACUGGAAGAAUGUCUCGACCUGCGAUAGUGAAACACUUUUGGAAAAUCCGUCACAGGUCCUCAAUAUGAGAUCCUCGUCUUUGUGUGAAAACGAAUUUUUCCAGUUACCUGCACAAGUUGCCACUGAUGAUUUUGAUUUAAGCCACUUGGACAUACCAUCAGAUGAUAUUUUCUCUGUCGAACCAUUGUGUGCCUUGGAUCCUUGUGCGGUGGGAGCUGUAGAGAGCAGUGAAAAUAGAUUUCAGCCUGAGCUUCCCCCACUUGGUGGCCAUGGACAGCCUCAAGAAUCACUCGCUUUAGACAAGUUCUCAAAUUCAUUGGUUUUCGAGGAGAGCACCAGUCACGCCUCGUUCAACGAAGAAGACUAUUAUUGCCGUCCAGGUCCAGAUCCCCCAGUAUCCUUUGACUCGCAAGAUCUUGGGGCUGCACUGAAGGGCUUCAUUGCGACGAUAUCAAAGCCAAAGCCAUAUAGAGGAUGGAGGACAUUGUCCUAUGUUAUAGGAUGGAUAUUCUACACCAGGAGGAUGGCCGCUCAGAAGAGGAAGAAACCCAGGAAAUGA